GGGAGGGUCGGCGAAAGCUUGCCUUAGACACCAUCAAAAAUGGCCAGGUAAGCGGGCUCCCAAUUAAAAACCACCGAUCUGGUUUACCUUAGACACCAAUUGAUUUAAUUAGUUUCGAUUAGAUCAACCUAACAGUUCAUGCUAGACCGCUUAGCCAAGAAUCAAGUCCAUUUGGUUCUCGUUAAAGACAUGGACUUGACCAACUACAACUAUUGUAAUUGAUCUAGAAAAUCUUUGACCUAAUCUAAAAUAACAAUUGAUUAGAUUUAGUCAAUUCUCUAAUUAAGUCCAUCUUUAAUCUAACCAUAGGUCUAACCCAAUUAAUGGACCUAAUUCUCACUAACCCAUUAACCCAAUGUGUUAUGGUUUGUGUCUUAGGUUCUUCAAUUCACAAUCCUAGAAUCUAAUCAAAACAACUUCUUAAUUCUUAAUUAAGUUUUGGGCUGAGGGUUGGGUUCGACUUUUCAAAAAAUAAUUUUCAUAUUUGUAAAAUAAUUUUACAAUAUGAUUCUACCAACCAUAUUGCAUGUUUGAUUCAUAAUCAAGGUGCAAGUGAAAUUUUCACGAGGGGGUUCAGAGAGACGCCACACACAAGGUCGGA
rnacentral:lncRNA from 1 species